AGUGAACGCUGGCGGUAGGCCUAACACAUGCAAGUCGAACGGCAGCACAGUACGAGCUUGCUCUUACGGGUGGCGAGUGGCGGACGGGUGAGGAAUACAUCGGAAUCUACUUUUCGUGGGGGAUAACGUAGGGAAACUUACGCUAAUACCGCAUCCGACCUACGGGUGAAAGCAGGGGAUCUUCGGACCUUGCGCGAUUGAAUGAGCGGAUGUCGGAUUAGCUAGUUGGCGGGGUAAAGGCCCACCAAGGCGACGAGCCGUAGCUGGUCCGAGAGGAUGAGCAGCCCCCGUGGAACUGGGACACGGUCCAGGCUCCUACGGGAGGGAGAAGUGGGGAAUAUGGGACAAUGGGAGCAGGCCUGAUCCAGCCGUACCGCGUGGGUGAAGAAGGCCUUCGGGUUGUAAAGCCCUUCUGUUGGGGAAGAAAAGCAGCAGUUUGAUAUCCCGCUUUUCUGACGGUACCCAAAGAAUAAGCACCGGCUAACUUCGUG
rnacentral:rRNA from 1 species